GCUUGUCUCAAAGAUUAAGCCAUGCAUGUCUAAGUAUAAACAACUUUAUACUGUAAAACUGCGAACGGCUCAUUAUAUCAGCAAUAAUUUAUUUGAUGGUUUCUUACCCCAUGGAUAACUGUGGUAAUUCUAGAGCUAAUACAUGCUGUAAAGCCCGACUUUUCGGAAGGGCCGUAUUUAUUAGAUAACAGACCAAUAUUCCUCGUGUCUAUUGUGGUGAAUCAUAGUAACUAAUCGGAUCGCAUGGGCUAGUCCCGCGACAAACCAUUCAAGUUUCUGCCCCAUCAGCUUUCGAUGGUAGUGUAUUGGACUACCAUGGCUUUUACGGGUAACGGAGGAUUAGGGUUCGAUUCCGGAGAGGGAGCCUGAGAAACGGCUACCACAUCUAAGGAAGGCAGCAGG
rnacentral:rRNA from 1 species